AACGCACCUUGCGCUCCUUGGUAUUCCGAGGAGCAUGCCUGUUUGAGUGUCAUUAAUAUAAUCAACCUUUUCUUGUUUUGAGAAUGGUUUGGAUGUGGGGGUUUGCUGGCCUCUCUCAAAAGGUUCAGCUCCCCUGAAAUGCAUUAGCAGAACAACCUUUGCUCAUUGGUGUGAUAACUAUCUACGCUUAUGAAUACGGAGGGGCAGUUCAGCUUUCUAACGGUCUUUGGACAAUUCAUCAUUAAUGUGACCUCAAAUCAGGUAGGACUACCCGCUGAACUUAA
rnacentral:misc_RNA from 1 species